rnacentral:RNase_P_RNA from 1 species
AAAUGAAAUUGGUGGGCUAACGGUGGAUUUUUAUAUCUACUGAGGAACCUCGCCUCAUACUCCAAGCAAGAGCGGAUAACCGUUACGGUGAAAACCGUAUUUUAACAACAGAAACGGCACUACCUUCGUGCGUAUAUCAAGGAUUUGGAUAUAAGCCAAAGAGAUUGUGCGAAGGGAUGGUUGGAACGAGUUAAAAUCUUGAUGCAAGGCCAAAUGAAAGCGAUGAGGGACUUGGAGCGAGCUUUAGGUAGGCCGCUUAGUUUGAUGCUCACAUCUAUGGUCUGGUGACAGAUAUAGAACAAAAGGGCGGGUAUAGAUUUCAGUU